rnacentral:lncRNA from 1 species
CCUGAGCAGGUCAGGGUGGAGCUCUUAUUCUGAUGCCUUUGGCCACAAAUACCAGAGAAAACAUUUUCCGAAGGAUACGGACAAAGUCCAGGAACUGUUCUAGAACUUGGAACAUGUUAUAAGGUCGUUUACUAUGAGGAUGUUCAUUGUACUGAUUUUUCUUUCGCAACUUUGCCUUUGGAAUACUUCCAUAGGAUGCUAUUCCUGACUCUGAUCAAAGUAGACACUCAGCUGGCAGAGAGGAGAAGCAGCGGGACAUCAGGACUAUGGCUGGACGUCAGAGAGAAGCAGCUUAACUUCAGAGGUGCAGCUUGAUGGUGUAACUUAGGAGAAGAAUCUGACUGGAGACGGCCAGACUUCAGAAGAAGAUGACCUACCCCCCCAUCCCCUUUUCAGCUUCCCUUCCCGCUGAGAGCCACUUUUAUUGGCAAUAAAAUCCUCCACAUUUACCAC